rnacentral:rRNA from 1 species
CCUACGGGUGGCAGCAGUCGAGAAUCAUUCACAAUGGGGGAAACCCUGAUGGUGCGAAGCCGCGUGGGGGAAUGAAGGUCUUCGGAUUGUAAACCCCUGUCAUGUGGGAGCAAAUUAAAAAGAUAGUACCACAAGAGGAAGAGACGGCUAACUGUGUGCCAGCAGCCGCGGUAAUACAGAGGUCUCAAGCGUUGUUCGGAAUCACUGGGCGUAAAGCGUGGGUAGGAUGUUUCUUAAGGCGUGUGUUAAAGGCGCGGGCCCAACCCGCGGACGGCACAUGAUACUGCGAGACUAGAGUAAUCGAGAGGUAACCGGAAUUCUCGGUGUAGCAGUGAAAUGCAUAGAUAUCGAGAGGAACACUCAUGGCGAAGGCGGGUUCCUGGACAUUAACUGACGCUGAGGCACGAAGGCCAGGGUAGCGAAAGGGAUUAGAUACCCGUGUAGUC